UAGAUCGCCUGCGUAUCCUUCAACUCUGCGUUCAGAACAUUUCUUUUAGACUGUCCCACAGCGCGAAUCAAACCCAGUGACCCAUAUUACAAAAGGACAGAGGCAAAGGACACAAGUGGUCGAGUUUUCCAUUUGAACCUCCUUGGAGAAUAUUUGACAAGAGUUGAAGGGGAAAGAGGAUUGUGUGAGUGAUCAGAAAAUGAGGACGUGCGUACAUCACUUGUUUCCCUGAGCUCUGAGGGGACGGGGAGAAAUGUCUAACACAAACUUCCAAGAAGACUCUUUGUUUCCCGUGAACUGGAAAGUCUUGAGCCGGGUUGAUAUAGCCCGCUGCAAUGAUCAGAGCCGAGUGGAGUCUGUACACUGUCAGCUGUCUGGCUGCAACUCUCUGCAGGCUUCCGAAACUGAGCAAAUACCACCGUAAAACACACAGCGAGUUACUUACGGGGACGCGAGCGCUGUAAAUUCGAGGCACACAUAAACAGACAAGAGGGGAAGUCUAACAGCAAAACGCAACCGCGGUUUAAAAGGAAUAACUCGCUUGAGCGAAUCGUUGCAAUGGAGAAUUUGCUGAGACGUUUCUCAAGGGCAUCGUGGAGAUUUAUUUUUCAAUCUCAACAUGAACACACGAGCAAGACAGAUCAAGCUAAUUUCCUCCCAGCCCCUCUCGCUCCCCGCUCCUCUUUGUUUGGUGGGGAGAAUAGGCAACACCACCGGCGGCGGCGGUACACUCAGCGUCGGCCGAAAUAAAAUGGUGAAUUUUAGUUUUCCAACUGGGAGCUGAAGAGGCGGUUUGAGCGCGGAAGUGGUUUCCUCGGGAGUGCAGUUAAUGGGGAUUCGUCUCAGCAAAAGCUAGGUGUCAUUCGGCCUAGACAGCCCAGGGACCAGUUGGCUGAUUCUGACUGAAAACCGGUUUGGCGGGCAGAAGGACAGGACUGAAUGUUUUGUCUACAAAUAUAAAAGAACAGCAAGUAUGGACCCAAAGGUUUUGUGCGAAUUGCGUGCUGAUAGUUUGCUCUGGACUGUGGAAAGUGAUGGAAGGUUGCAGCUUUGUGUUUAGCGAAUCCCACGCAAAAUCACAAAUGAGCGAUUUUGCAAUGAAGAUCUUGUUAUAGAAAGCAGCAACCAGGGAGGGAGCAACAGCGGACACCACGACUGACUGUGAUACAAUGGCGGUAGAUUAAUCUGUGUACUUAUGCAUUCUCAGAUGUCACCCCUCUCCCCACAACAUAAAUAAAAAGUGAAUCAACAUUGA